GGAGGGUGCAAGCGUUAAUCGGAAUUACUGGGCGUAAAGCGCACGCAGGCGGUUGGAUAAGUUAGAUGUGAAAGCCCCGGGCUCAACCUGGGGAUUGCAUUUAAAACUGUCCAGCUAGAGUCUUGUAGAGGGGGGUAGAAUUCCAGGUGUAGCGGUGAAAUGCGUAGAGAUCUGGAGGAAUACCGGUGGCGAAGGCGGCCCCCUGGACAAAGACUGACGCUCAGGUGCGAAAGCGUGGGGAGCAAACAGGAUUAGAUACCCUGGUAGUCCACGCCGUAAACGAUGUCGAUUUGGAGGCUGUGUCCUUGAGACGUGGCUUCCGGAGCUAACGCGUUAAAUCGACCGCCUGGGGAGUACGGCCGCAAGGUUA
rnacentral:rRNA from 1 species